CACCAGACUCCUACGGGAGGCAGCAGUGGGGAAUAUUGCACAAUGGGGGAAACCCUGAUGCAGCGACGCCGCGUGAGCGAUGAAGUAUUUCGGUAUGUAAAGCUCUAUCAGCAGGGAAGAAGAAAGACGGUACCUGACUAAGAAGCCCCGGCUAACUACGUGCCAGCAGCCGCGGUAAUACGUAGGGGGCAAGCGUUAUCCGGAUUUACUGGGUGUAAAGGGAGCGUAGACGGCAAUGCAAGCCAGAUGUGAAAGCCCGGGGCUCAACCCCGGGACUGCAUUUGGAACUGUGUAGCUGGAGUGUCGGAGAGGCAGGCGGAAUUCCUGGUGUAGCGGUGAAAUGCGUAGAUAUCAGGAGGAACACCGGUGGCGAAGGCGGCCUGCUGGACUGCAACUGACGUUGAGGCCCGAAAGCGUGGGGAGCAAACAGGAUUAGAUACCCGCGUAU
rnacentral:rRNA from 1 species